ACGUGACUGACCAUCAUAUGGGGAGAGAAUGGACCCUUGUGACAGAUGGGCCUCUUUGGCUGCCCUGCCACAGCCUGUUCUGAGCCCGCAGGCCCGGGCAUCAGGCAGAUAGGCCUUCCCACAGAUCACACGCCCUCCUCUGGGGAGGAAGGAUGAUGAAGCGCCUCCCCCUCCCCCACCUACACACACCCGAGGCCAUUAGAACAGGUGAUUAAUGGAGAGAGCUGAUUUCCACUGGGCUCUCACCCCAGGAGACUGCCCGGCUCUGGAGGCGGGAUUGAGCUCGGUAGGUACCACAAGGACAUGGGACCCCGUCGCUCACCCUGAUGUGGCAGAAGAAACAAAGACCUGGAUGGUCCAUGCUCUUUUUAAGCUCUGCCGACUGCGGGGGACGGGGGAGGAAGGGCCCUCUGACCUAAAGACAAGGGGAUGGUGGCCAAGGAGCCGGGCCAGCAAGGCAUGGCUACCAACUUCACUUUCAAAAAGAGGAAGGCCACGGCGGGACCCUCAGCAGAGCCGAAUCCACUGCAGCCCCAAGGAGUGGCCCCCGGGGCGCUGUACCGGCCGGGAGGGAGCGCUUACCUUCACGCCGUCAUUCUUCUUGUUGCCUCCGCUUUUCCCUCCUGCGGAGACAAGGUAGGAGGUUAGCAGGGCCAGGCAAGGCGCCAAGGCCAACAGAGUGAGGAUCAGCAGCAUAAGGGAGGAUGGAGUCAAACAAAAG